rnacentral:rRNA from 1 species
UGCAAAUACUAUUAUUAUUUGUAAAAUCUGCUCAAUGAAUUUUAAAUAGCCGCAGAAAUUAGCUGUGCUAAGGUAGCAUAAUCAUUAGCCCCCUAAUUAGGGGCAAGUAUGAAAGAUUUAACAAUUUAAUCUCUUUUUUUAAUAUAAAUUUUAAAUUAUAUUAAAUAUAAAAAUAUAUUUAUAAACUAAUAAGACGACAAGACCCUGUCGAACUUAACUUUUGUUUUGCUGGGGCAGCAAUAUAAUAAAUAUUUUAUAUUAUAUAAAUAAUAAUAAGACCCAGUAUCAUUGAGUAUAAGAGCAAGUUACCGCAGGGAUAACAGCGUAAUAUUUCUUUGAAGCUCCUAUUUAAAGAAGAGUUUGCGACCUCGAUGUUGAAUAUUUUUCUUUUAAACGCAAUAGUUUUAAAAGAAAGUCUGUUCGACUUUUAAAAAAUUACA